rnacentral:pre_miRNA from 1 species
AGGAGCAACAGCCCUAGUGGCGGGGCUGGCUCUGGAAACGUGGAUUCAGCUCCGGCAGGAACUCCGGACGUCUCCGUCUGCAGGGCCUGGAGGCUCCGGGGCGGG